GGAGUCCAACCAUGAUUUUGUGGACAGCGUAGCUGGAGCAAAGCAUAUGCUGCUUGGGAGGCUUUGACA
rnacentral:lncRNA from 12 species